UGAAUACGAGAUGCUACGGCGUCGAAGCAGUGUAUGUCAGACUUCCAAGAAAAGCUCGCAAUGUCAUAAAUAAAGAAUGCCUGUACCAUAACCGACACAGGUGGGUAGGUAGAGUAUACUAAGGGGCGCGAGAUAACUCUCUCUAAGGAACUCGGCAAAAUAACUCCGUAACUUCGGGAGAAGGAGUGCCUUCUUUAAGAAGGUUGCAAUAACAAGAUCCAAGCAACUGUUUAUCAAAAACACAGGUCUCCGCUAAGUCGUAAGACGAUGUAUGGGGGCUGACGCCUGCCCAGUGCCAGAAGGUUAAAGAAGCUGGUUAGCAAUAGCGAAGCUGGUGACUGAAGCCCUGGUGAACGGCGGCCGUAACAAUAACGGUCCUAAGGUAGCGAAAUUCCUUGUCGGGUAAGUUCCGACCCGCACGAAAGGCGUAAUGAUUUGGAUACUGUCUCGGAGAGGGACUCGGUGAAAUAGACUUGUCUGUGAAGAUGCGGACUACCUGCACCAGGACAAAAGACCCUAUGAAGCUUUACUGUAACCUGAAAUUGAAAUUGGACUUUAUUUGCGCAGUAUAGGUGGGAGGCGUUGAAAGUAAUCUUGCGGGAUUAGUGGAGCCAUCAGUGAGAUACCACUCCUAUAAUGUUAGAUUUCUAACUUUGGAUCAUGAUCUGGUCAAAAAACAGUUUCAGGCGGGCAGUUUGACUGGGGCGGUCGCCUCCCAAAUGGUAACGGAGGCGUACAAAGGUUUCCUCUGAACGGGUAGAAAUCGUAUCUAGAGUGUAAAGGCAUAAGGAAGCUUGACUGUGAGACCUACAAGUCGAGCAGGGACGAAAGUCGGUCUUAGUGAUCUGACGGUGCUGAGUGGAAAGGCCGUCACUCAACGGAUAAAAGUUACUCUAAGGAUAACAGGCUGAUCUCCCCCAAGAGUUCACAUCGACGGGGAGGUUUGGCACCUCGAUGUCGGCUCAUCGCAUCCUGGGGCGGUAGUACGUCCCAAGGGUUGGGCUGUUCGCCCAUGAAAGCGGUACGCGAGCUGGGUUCAGAACGUCGUGAGACAGUUCGGUCCAUAUCCGGUGUAGGCGUUAGAAUAUUGAGAGGAGCCUUCUCUAGUACGAGAGGACCGAGAAGGACAUACCUCUGGUGUACCAGUUAUCGUGCCAACGGUAAACGCUGGGUAGCUAUGUAUGAGAGGAUAACCGCUGAAAGCAUCUAAGUGGGAAGCCCACCUCAAGAUGAGUAUUCUC
rnacentral:rRNA from 1 species